rnacentral:misc_RNA from 1 species
GUCACUAGAUCAACUGAAUUUUCACCACCUAUUAACGACACCAGUUCAUCAUCUGACAUUGAUGAUGGAGUGUGCAAGUAUCGAACUCGAGGGUGCUUUAUACCAUGCUUUAAUUGCUCUUCACUUAUAUCAUUAGCUAUGCUCAGAUCGGAACUGAACCCUGCAGAGAAUAUAAUACAUGAGUUCUGGUUCAGUUCCGAUCUGAGCAUAGCUAAUGAUAGAAAAAAAAAAGCCAACAUUUUCGGAAAAAUGAAGGUUAGAAAGAGAGAACUGACGCUGAUAGCU